UGCAUCGGCUGGGAAUCGAACCCGGGACGCCCGCGUGGCAGGCGAGCAUUCUACCAUUGAACCACCGAUGG
rnacentral:tRNA from 1 species